rnacentral:snRNA from 1 species
AUCGCUUCUCGGCCUUUUGGCUAAGAUCAAGUGUAGUAUAGUAUUUUUAUAAUAGCUCAAUGUUUCCAACAAUCCCAAAAUGUUGUCUUUGCCCAGAGUAUGCCUACUGAGGCAUUGAGGAAAGCAAGUUUUGCCCCAUUUCUUUUUCUUUCCUUAAAUUUC